rnacentral:misc_RNA from 1 species
UUAACUUAUUUAUAGUGCUUCAGAGGACAGGUUCAGAAGAGUUUGGUUGGCGCUUUCGGCAGGCCUUGGUCGCCCCGCCCUGGGGCGGCCUGCCGAAGCAACAGGUACUAAAGAACACAAUGGUUUGGGAGUUUUGCAACUCUGUAAUGAUCCCUCCGCUGGUUCACCAACGGAGA